rnacentral:sRNA from 1 species
UAUAGCUUUGAUGGUGUAGUCGAAGUCCGUAUGAGUCUUUGGAUGUGUAACUUC